rnacentral:rRNA from 1 species
AACGAACGCUGGCGGCAUGCCUAACACAUGCAAGUCGAACGAGACCUUCGGGUCUAGUGGCGCACGGGUGCGUAACGCGUGGGAACCUGCCCUUAGGUUCGGAAUAACUCCCCGAAAGGGGUGCUAAUACCGGAUAAUGUCUUCGGACCAAAGAUUUAUCGCCUUUGGAUGGGCCCGCGUUGGAUUAGCUAGUUGGUAGGGUAAAAGCCUACCAAGGCGACGAUCCAUAGCUGGUCUGAGAGGAUGGUCAGCCACACUGGGACUGAGACACGGCCCAGACUCCUACGGGAGGCAGCAGUGGGGAAUAUUGGACAGUGGGCGAAAGCCUGAUCCAGCAAUGCCGCGUGAGUGAUGAAGGCCUUAGGGUUGUAAAGCUCUUUUACCCGGGAUGAUAAUGACAGUACCGGGAGAAUAAGCUCCGGCUAACUCCGUG